UGCACUUAUACACAGACUUUAUAUUAAUUGGAUUAUCGCGAUAUAGCGGAAGAUUGCGUAUCGAAUGGAUUAGUUCUUGUUUCAAACAAAAUCGUUAUCGUUUGCUUAUGUGUGCGAACGCGAGCGUGAAGCAAGUAACGUUAUAAUCUGCGGGAUCAUUCUGCUAAAGCCCAUCAAGCUUGCCUAAUGAGAAAGUUACAUCACAGCUUGAAACAAACGUACGGAAUUACCUAACAUCUCACACGCGCGGCGAAAUCCUUUUUUACACCCUGUGCGUGAUGACGUAGGACAAUAAAGCUCGCGAUAGGGUAUCGCCCGGAGGAUAUAUUUUUCGCCAGCGACUAUUUCGGGGCUCAUUCUACGGGUCGGACCACACCACACCACACGUGUUGUGCCGAUAUGGUACAACCGUAAAUCAAAAUUUGCAGGCCAGAACUUUAACAAGGACUUUACAGUCUGUUUCUUCAAGGACUUUUACGACCCACAAACGACCGCUUUACAUCAGCGGCACAUUACCGGUAUACGAUGGUAUAUGUUGGCUGACAAUGGCCAUCGUUUUUAUCGAUUGCGGAAAGCAAAACAGGUUUGCCGGAAAUGAUAAACGAGCUGUUAAACGAGCGAUUGUGGACAACAUCCGGUAACAUGAUGUUGAACCGCGAAAUCCUUCCCAUCAUCUAUUAUAUUAAAUGACAAUUUCGCCGGAAGGAGGGCGAGUACGAUCGGGCUUGACGAGUCGUUUCAAGAUGACAAAUCGCCACUUCGUUUUCGGCAUCUCUUAAGCAAUUAAAUCGGCGCAAAAAUAUCGCAAGGUCGCCGCACGCUGUUGCCCGACGCGGGCGAGUCUGGCCGCUUCGAGGAGCUUUGUGCUUUCCCGAAGACGAGACACAAGAUGCCGCCACCGCGUGGAGAAACAUCCCCGUUGACGUUACCACGAAGGUUCACCGGGUGGCAAUUCAGGGAAACGUGGAAUAUUCGCGGAAGUCUGACUUCUCGAUUGACGAUAGAACGGAGCUGCUGUUACCAAAGUCAUUGAUGAUCAU